CCUGGUGGUUAUAGCGGAGUUCCCCCACCCGAUCCCAUUCCGAACUCGGUCGUGAAACACUCCAGCGCCGAUGGUACUGCGAAAGCGGGAGAGUAGGUCGCCGCCAGGC
rnacentral:rRNA from 1 species